UUUUAUUACAUGUUUACAGGGCUCUUCAUUGUGGUCUCAGCAAUAUGAGGAGCUCUGCAAGCAUGCAAUAAAA
ensembl:miRNA